AGUCUAGGGGUAGCAAUAUCACUGGCGGACGGGUGCGUAACGCGUAUAGAACCUACCUUUCACUGGGGGAUAGCUUUUGGAAACAGGAGAUAAUACCGCAUAAGAUAAUAGAGUGGCAUCACUUAGUUAUUAAAGAUUUAUUGGUGAGAGAUGGCUAUGCGUAUGAUUAGCUAGUUGGUAAGGUAACGGCUUACCAAGGCUACGAUCAUUAGGGGUUCUGAGAGGAUUGGCCCCCACACUGGUACUGAGAUACGGACCAGACUCCUACGGGAGGCAGCAGUAGGGAAUAUUGGGCAAUGGGCGAAAGCCUGACCCAGCCAUGCCGCGUGCAGGAUGAAGGCCCUCUGGGUCGUAAACUGCUUUUGACGGGGAAGAAAAGGGCUAUGCGUAGCACAUUGACGGUACCCGCAGAAUAAGCCACGGCUAACUACGUGCCAGCAGCCGCGGUAAUACGUAGGUGGCAAGCGUUGUCCGGAUUUAUUGGGUUUAAAGGGUGCGUAGGCGGCUUGAUAAGUCAGCGGUAAAAGGUAGCAGCUUAACUGUUUUACUCGCCGUUGAUACUGUUGAGCUUGAAUGUACGGGAGGCAGAUAGAACUCCUGAUGUAGCGGUGAAAUGCAUAGAUAUCAGGAAGAAUACCGAUUGCGAAGGCAGUCUGCUGUAGUACGAUUGACGCUGAGGCACGAAAGCAUGGGGAUCAAACAGGAUUAGAUACCCUGGUAGUCCAUGCCGUAAACGAUGAUUACUAGCUGUUGGCUUCAUUGUCAGUGGCUAAAGGAAACCGAUAAGUAAUCCACCUGGGGAGUACGCCGGCAACGGUGAAACUCAAAGGAAAUGACGGGGGUCCGCACAA
rnacentral:rRNA from 1 species